AUUUAACCAUGCAAAGUCGAACGGGAUCCAUCAGGCUUUGCUUGGUGGUGAGAGUGGCGAACGGGUGAGUAAUGCGUGACCGACCUGCCCCAUACACCGGAAUAGCUCCUGGAAACGGGUGGUAAUGCCGGAUGCUCCGACUCCUCGCAUGGGGUGUCGGGAAAGAUUUCAUCGGUAUGGGAUGGGGUCGCGUCCUAUCAGGUAGUCGGCGGGGUAACGGCCCACCGAGCCUACGACGGGUAGCCGGCCUGAGAGGGCGACCGGCCACAUUGGGACUGAGAUACGGCCCAGACUCCUACGGGAGGCAGCAGUGGGGAAUAUUGCACAAUGGGCGCAAGCCUGAUGCAGCGACGCCGCGUGCGGGAUGACGGCCUUCGGGUUGUAAACCGCUUUUGAUCGGGAGCAAGCCUUCGGGUGAGUGUACCUUUCGAAUAAGCACCGGCUAACUACGUGCCAGCAGCCGCGGUAAUACGUAGGGUGCAAGCGUUAUCCGGAAUUAUUGGGCGUAAAGGGCUCGUAGGCGGUUCGUCGCGUCCGGUGUGAAAGUCCAUCGCUUAACGGUGGAUCUGCGCCGGGUACGGGCGGGCUGGAGUGCGGUAGGGGAGACUGGAAUUCCCGGUGUAACGGUGGAAUGUGUAGAUAUCGGGAAGAACACCAAUGGCGAAGGCAGGUCUCUGGGCCGUUACUGACGCUGAGGAGCGAAAGCGUGGGGAGCGAACAGGAUUAGAUACCCUGGUAGUCCACGCCGUAAACGGUGGAUGCUGGAUGUGGGGCCCGUUCCACGGGUUCCGUGUCGGAGCUAACGCGUUAAGCAUCCCGCCUGGGGAGUACGGCCGCAAGGCUAAAACUCAAAGAAAUUGACGGGGGCCCGCACAAGCGGCGGAGCAUGCGGAUUAAUUCGAUGCAACGCGAAGAACCUUACCUGGGCUUGACAUGUUCCCGACAGCCGUAGAGAUAUGGCCUCCCUUCGGGGCGGGUUCACAGGUGGUGCAUGGUCGUCGUCAGCUCGUGUCGUGAGAUGUUGGGUUAAGUCCCGCAACGAGCGCAACCCUCGCCCUGUGUUGCCAGCACGUCAUGGUGGGAACUCACGGGGGACCGCCGGGGUCAACUCGGAGGAAGGUGGGGAUGACGUCAGAUCAUCAUGCCCCUUACGUCCAGGGCUUCACGCAUGCUACAAUGGCCGGUACAACGGGAUGCGACACGGCGACGUGGAGCGGAUCCCUGAAAACCGGUCUCAGUUCGGAUUGGAGUCUGCAACCCGACUCCAUGAAGGCGGAGUCGCUAGUAAUCGCGGAUCAGCAACGCCGCGGUGAAUGCGUUCCCGGGCCUUGUACACACCGCCCGUCAAGUCAUGAAAGUGGGUAGCACCCGAAGCCGGUGGCCUAACCCUUUGUGGAUGGAGCCGGUCUAAAGGGGAGACUAGGU
rnacentral:rRNA from 1 species